rnacentral:rRNA from 1 species
UGAAGUGUAGGUUCAGACCUGUAGGGGGAUCCGCCCGGCAAAUCCGGUGGGUCAUAUUCCCUGAGGGGUCAUGGCGAGGGCCGCAAGGUCCGCAAAGUCGCAGACGCCACGCUGCCAAGAAAAUCCUCUAAGGAGUCUUUUGGGUACCCGUACCGUAAACCGACACAGGUAGGCGAGGAGAAAAUCCUCAGGUGCGAGUGAGAACCCUCGUUUAGGAACUCGGCAAACUCACCCCGUAACUUCGGAAGAAGGGGUGCUCCGUUAGCGUUAGAUGGUUCGCCCAUCGAAGCGUGAGGGAGUUGCAAUAAAGAGGCCCAGGCAACUGUUUACUAAAAACACAGGGCUAUGCCAAGUCGAAUACGACGUAUAUGGCCUGACGCCUGCCCGGUGCCGGAAGGUUAAAGGGAGAGGUUAGCCGCAAGGCGAAGCUUCGAGCUGAAGCCCCGGUAAACGGCGGCCGUAACUAUAACGGUCCUAAGGUAGCGAAAUUCCUUGUCGGGUAAGUUCCGACCUGCACGAAUGGCGUAAUGAUCUGGGCGCUGUCUCAACGAGGGGCACUGCGAAUUUGUGGUACCGGUGAAGACGCCGGUUGCCCGUGACAAGACGAAAAGACCCCUUGCACCUUUACUACAUCCUAGUAGUGAAUGCUGACGCAGUAUGCGCAGGAUAGGUGGGAGGCUUUGAUCUCGGGAUUUCGGUCUCGGGGGAGCCAACGGUGAGAUACCACCCUUACUGCUUCGGCGUUCUAACCUCGUUCUGUUAUCCAGAACAGGGACACUGCUAGGUGGGUAGUUUGACUGGGCGGUCGCCUCCUAAAUUGUAACGGAGGCGCGCGAAGGUUCGCUCAGGCUGUUUGGAAAUCAGCCAUAGAGUGCAAAAGCAUAAGCGAGCUUGACUGCGAGUCCUACAAGACGAGCAGGUGGGAAACCAGGCUUUAGUGAUCCGGUGGUUCCGCGUGGAAGGGCCAUCGCUCAACGGAUAAAAGGUACGCCGGGGAUAACAGGCUGAUCCUAGCCAAGAGUUCACAUCGACGCUAGGGUUUGGCACCUCGAUGUCGGCUCAUCGCAUCCUGGAGCUGUAGCAGGUUCCAAGGGUCCGGCUGUUCGCCGGUUAAAGCGGUACGUGAGCUGGGUUUAGAACGUCGCGAGACAGUUCGGUCUCUAUCUGUCAUGGGCGCAGGAGAUUUGAGUGGGGCUGACCUUAGUACGAGAGGACCGGGUUGGACGGACCUCUAGUGUAUCGGUUAUCGCGCCAGCGGUAGCGCCGAGUAGCUACGUCCGGAAGGGAGAAACGCUGAAGGCAUCUAAGCGUGAAACCCUCCACAAGAUGAGAUCUCCCUGGAUCGCAAGAUCCCUAAAGGCUCCUGGAAGAUUACCAGGUGAUAGGUCGGGUGUGUAAGCGUGGCGACACGUUGAGCUUACCGAUACUAAUCAGCCGUGAGGCUUGAUCAA